CUGUUAUAAUAGUUAGAUGUUGAUUACAAUGUAAUUCUUUACAUGUUAUUAAUUAAAAGGGUAUCCUUGGUGCAUAAGUGAUGAAGAGAGGUCCAGAAAUUGUUCCAGCCCCACAGUUACAAUGUCCUUUGCAUCACCCCUGAAAAGUAAGAAAUUGCCCUGGAAUGGAACUGUACGAAAGAAGAGACACUACAAAUUGCAGCCAAUGUGGAAGAAAGUCCAGAGGCCUAAAGUGAUGGAACAGGAGCCCGAAGAGACAAAGGCCUUCCUAUUCCCCAAGACACAACAAUACUGAAAUUACGCCAAUGAAGAACCCUAAAAUGGCCCUUAAGCGUUCAAAUGAAAGGAAGAGCCAACCAAUGCAGCAAACUUCCUUGUCUUAUAAGCAAUUGCUACAGCCACCCCAACCCUCGGCAGCCACCAGCUUGAGCAGUCAGCAGUCAUCAACAUCGACGCAGGACCCUCCACCAGCAAAAAG